CAAAUUUUUUGAACCCCCUUAUGAUUCAUCACCCCCAAACUCAAUCCCAGCCUUCCCUUUGUGGUAUGGUACCUUGCAGUACAAUUUCAGAGAGAUCCAUACACUUGAACACAAGUUAUUGUCUGGAAACUAGAAAAAUGCUUAUUUUUGGCCCCUUUUUGGCCCCCAAUUUCUAAACGUUUCGGGCAAUUACCCCCAAACUCAAUUCCAGCUUUCCCUUUGUGAUAUGGAACCUUGUAGUACAAUUUCAGAAAUAUCCAAACACUUACACACAAGUUAUUGUCAUGAAACUAGAAAAAUGCUUGUUUUUUGCCCCUUUUUUGGCCCCUAAUUCCUAAAAUUUUGAGGCAAUUACCCCCAAAAUCAAUUACAGUCUUCCCUUUGUGAUAUGGAACCUUGUGGUACAAUGUCAGAGAGAUCCAUACACUUACAUACAAGUUAUUGUCUGGAAGUUACAAAAAUGCUUAUUUUUGGCCCCUUUUUUGCCCCUAAUUCCUUAACUGUUGGUACCAUAACCCCCAAAAUCAAUCCCAACCUUCCUUUUGUGGUAUUGAACCGUAUGGUAAAAUUUCAUAGAGAUCCAUUCACUUAAACUUAAGUUAGAGUGCGAAAACCAAUGUGUCUUCGGACGACGCAUGACGACGACGACGACGCCAACGUCAUCCCAAUAUACGACCGCAAAAAUUUUUUGCGGUCGUAUAAAAAUUGUACUUGAUCUUAGUUUUGUGGUAAUGAAUAUUGUGUAUAGGUUUCAUAAUGUUUGGUUGGGGCAAACUCAAGUAACCGAAUGGAAACUAAAAAUUUUGCAUUCUUUUGAUUUAUACAGGGGCAUAACUCAAUAAUGGUUAAAGUGACACUACUCAAAUUCAACUUGAUCUGUGUUUUCUCAGUGGAAGUCAAAAUUAGAAACAUUGCAUUGUAUAAAGCAUUGAUUGUAGUUGAUUCAACUAUAAUCAUGGACAAAGGAAGAUAACUCCAAUUUAAAAAUUACUUAAUAUUUAGAAGAAAAUAAAAAUUUUGCAAUUUUUCCAUUUAUAAAGGGGCAUCACUCUAGAACGGUUAAAGUGAUGCCACCAAAAUUCAAACUUGAUCUGUGUUUUGUGGUAAUAAGCACUGUGUAUAAGUUUCAUAACAUUUAAUUAAGGCAAACUAAAAUGAGAGAACGAAAACAAAAAAUUCAGCAAUUUUUCCAUUUGUAAAGGGGCAUAACUCUAGAACGGUAAAAGUGACGCCACCAAAAUUCAAACUCGAUCUGUGUUUUGUGGUAAUAAACAUUGUGUAUAAGUUUCAUAACAUUUGGUUGAGGCAAACUAAAGUUAGAGAACGGAAACAAUAAAUUCAGCAAUUUUUCCAUUUGUAAAGGGGCAUAACUCUAGAACGGUAAAAGUGACGCCACCAAAACUUAAUGCCCCCUCCGCUACGGUGGGGGCAUAAAAAAAAUAAAUUGAUUAGAUUUCUUACUCGUGAUGUUUUGCCUUGCUUGUGCAAUUUCGUCGAUUCCUGCUAUUAAUGAAGACAAUAAAACAUCACUAUUGUUCUCAAAAAUGUAUUUUAACAUAUUACAUACUGAAAUUCAGAAAUUAUUGCAAGGUUUUAUUGCAAUAAUAAGACCUUGAAUUUCGAUAACAGAAACACAUAUAACUGUAUGCAGGUUUUCCUGAAAAUGCAAUGAUUAAUCUCACAUUUUUUCACUUUUUUCAAAAAUGCCAAUAAUAAAUGCACACAAUAAUUUCUGAAUUUAGAGUAUUGAUUCUAGAAAAAGUGGAUUAUUAAAGACGUCUUCUCCAAAAGGAACUCAUAUGCCAAAUAGGACCCUUACCAUACUUAUUUCACAUUAUUACAAUAUUGAACACAUGACUUGAAAAAAAAUCUAUCGAAUGUACAUGAAGAUACAAUAUUGAGUAAAUCAUAAAAUAUUUGGCCCUUACAACUUAAUUUCCUGAAAUACAAUUCUGCUUACAGAACAAUAUAUUAGUAGCCUCUCAAAGCAAGAUAAAUAAACUGCUUCGCUGAGCGCAGCUGGAUACGCCCGCAGAGGUCCAACCCUGAACAGUUGGGGCAAAAAUGGACACAAUAUUCAAGCUUGAUACAGGUCUGAAUUUGGAUUGUAAUUAAAUAUUUGACAUAAAGGUUUCUGAAUAAAUGUAGUCAAAGAACUUGAAAUUGGUUAUAUGAAUUGAAUUUAUAUUCAAUUAAAGAUUUCUUGCUGUUGUGCAAUACACUAUGCUGUUGCGCAAUACUUAGUAAAUCUGUUGUCAGACUAUAAACAAAUAAAUUUAAUAAAAUUCUAAAGGGAGCUUACAUCAAUAGAUAUAAUCAAUUCACCAAAGUUUCAUAAGAAUUGUUGAAACUAUUUUUGAGUUAUUGUCUGAAAACUGGAAAAUCCUCCCUUUCUUAAUGAAUAAAACCCCACAACUCGGAAAUGUAAUAUCUAAAAUUUAUAAAAUUCUAAAGGGAGCUUACAUCAAUAGAUAUCAACAAUUCAUCAAAGUUUCAUAAGAACUGCUGAAAGCAUUUUUGAGUUAUUGUCCGAAAACUUGAAAAUCCCCCCUUUUUUUAUGAACAAAACCCUGUAACUUGGAAACGUAAAAUCUAAAAUUUAUAAAAAUCUAAAGGGAGCUCAUGUCAACAGAUAUAAACAAUUAACCAAAAUUUCUUGCAAGUUGGUGAAAGCAUUCUUGAGUUAUUGUCCGAAAACUGGAAAAUCCCCCUUUUUUUAAUGAAUAAAACCCCAUAACUCGGAAACAUAAAAUCUAAAAUUUAUAAAAAACAAAAGGGAGCUCACGUCAAUAGAUAUAAACAAUUCACCAAAGUUUUAUGCAAAUUGGUUAAAGCGUUUUUGAGUUAAUGUCCGACAUGUUGACAACGGACAGACGGACAGACGGACGGACAGACAGACAACGGUAUACCAUAAUACGUCCCGUAAACGGGCGUAUAAAAAGCUUGUUUGUUAGUUUAAUGGAAAGCUCCUUUAUAAUCAUACAAUGACAGUUAAUUUCAUUUGUUUUACUAAAAGUGGCUUUGGUCUAAAUUUACAUAACAUGUAUAGUGUUUUAAGUUUAGUUCAACCUAACCCUAGGUCUGAUGUUUUCAAUUUUCUGGAAGGAUUUGUAAAUUUAGUCAAAAUAAGAAUGGAGACUACAUGCCAACAUUAAUGUAAAAUAAACUGCUUUGCCGAGCGCAGCUGGAUACGACUGCAGAGGUCCAACCCUGAACAGUUGGGGCAAAAAUGGACACAAUAUUCAAGCUUGAUACAGGUCUGAAUUUGGAUUGUAAUUAAAUAUUUGACACAUUAUAGGUUUCUGAAUAAAUGUAGUCAAAGAACUUGAAAUUGGUCAUAUGAAUUGAAUUUAUAUAUUCAAUUAAAGAUUUCUUGCUGUUGUGCAAUACACUGUGCUGUUGCGCAAUACUUAGUAAAUCUGUUGUCAGACUAUAAACAAUUAAAGUUCAAUUAAUUCUCAAUGUCAUAUUAGAAAUUUAUGAAAAUAUAAAGGGAGCUUACAUCAAUAGAUAUAAACAAUUCACCAAAGUUUCAUGAGAAUUGCUGACAGCAUUUUUGAGUUAUUGUCCGAAAACUGGAAAAUCCCCCCUUUUUUAAUGAAUAAAACCCCAUAACUCAGAAAUGUAAAAUGUAAAAUUUAUAAAAUUCUAAACGGAGCUUACAUCAAUAGAUAUAAACAAUUCACCAAAGUUUCAAAAGAACUGCUGAAAGCAUUUUUGAUUUUUGGUCCGAAAUCUGGAAAAUCACCCUUUUUUAUGAAAAAAACCCUGUAACUCGGAAACGUAAAAUCUAAAAUAUAUUAAAACCAAAAGGGAGCUCAUGUCAAUAGAUAUAAACAAUUCACCACAAUUUCUUGCAAGUUGGUGAAAGCAUUCUUGAGUUAUUGUCCGAAAA